GGUGAAAAGCACCCCGGAAGGGGAGUGAAAUAGAACCUGAAACCGUGUGCUUACAAGUAGUCAGAGCCCGUUAAUGGGUGAUGGCGUGCCUUUUGUAGAAUGAACCGGCGAGUUACGAUUUGAUGCAAGGUUAAGCAGUAAAUGUGGAGCCGUAGCGAAAGCGAGUCUGAAUAGGGCGUUUAGUAUUUGGUCGUAGACCCGAAACCAGGUGAUCUACCCUUGGUCAGGUUGAAGUUCAGGUAACACUGAAUGGAGGACCGAACCGACUUACGUUGAAAAGUGAGCGGAUGAACUGAGGGUAGCGGAGAAAUUCCAAUCGAACCUGGAGAUAGCUGGUUCUCUCCGAAAUAGCUUUAGGGCUAGCCUCAAGUGAUGAUUAUUGGAGGUAGAGCACUGUUUGGACGAGGGGCCCCUCUCGGGUUACCGAAUUCAGACAAACUCCGAAUGCCAAUUAAUUUAACUUGGGAGUCAGAACAUGGGUGAUAAGGUCCGUGUUCGAAAGGGAAACAGCCCAGACCACCAGCUAAGGUCCCAAAAUAUAUGUUAAGUGGAAAAGGAUGUGGCGUUGCCCAGACAACUAGGAUGUUGGCUUAGAAGCAGCCAUCAUUUAAAGAGUGCGUAAUAGCUCACUAGUCGAGUGACACUGCGCCGAAAAUGUACCGGGGCUAAACAUAUUACCGAAGCUGUGGAUUGUCCUUUGGACAAUGGUAGGAGAGCGUUCUAAGGGCGUUGAAGCAUGAUCGUAAGGACAUGUGGAGCGCUUAGAAGUGAGAAUGCCGGUGUGAGUAGCGAAAGACGGGUGAGAAUCCCGUCCACCGAUUGACUAAGGUUUCCAGAGGAAGGCUCGUCCGCUCUGGGUUAGUCGGGUCCUAAGCUGAGGCCGACAGGCGUAGGCGAUGGAUAACAGGUUGAUAUUCCUGUACCACCUAUAAUCGUUUUAAUCGAUGGGGGGACGCAGUAGGAUAGGCGAAGCGUGCGAUUGGAUUGCACGUCUAAGCAGUAAGGCUGAGUAUUAGGCAAAUCCGGUACUCAUUAAGGCUGAGCUGUGAUGGGGAGAAGACAUUGUGUCUUCGAGUCGUUGAUUUCACACUGCCGAGAAAAGCCUCUAGAUAGAAAAUAGGUGCCCGUACCGCAAACCGACACAGGUAGUCAAGAUGAGAAUUCUAAGGUGAGCGAGCGAACUCUCGUUAAGGAACUCGGCAAAAUGACCCCGUAACUUCGGGAGAAGGGGUGCUCUUUAGGGUUAACGCCCAGAAGAGCCGCAGUGAAUAGGCCCAAGCGACUGUUUAUCAAAAACACAGGUCUCUGCUAAACCGUAAGGUGAUGUAUAGGGGCUGACGCCUGCCCGGUGCUGGAAGGUUAAGAGGAGUGGUUAGCUUCUGCGAAGCUACGAAUCGAAGCCCCAGUAAACGGCGGCCGUAACUAUAACGGUCCUAAGGUAGCGAAAUUCCUUGUCGGGUAAGUUCCGACCCGCACGAAAGGCGUAACGAUUUGGGCACUGUCUCAACG
rnacentral:rRNA from 1 species